AGCCACCAAAUAUUCACUGAUUAAACACUAAUGAUUAAUGUGUCAUCUCUGAAAAGAAAUAUGGGCUCAAACAGAGCAUGAAAGAGAUUAGUAAUGCGGGAAUAUUUCUUUUGCUGAUUAUUUCAGCCGUGACGUCAAUUUUCCAAACUGUAAACUGAGUGAGGAUGACACAGAAGAUCUGAACAAGGAAUCAGCCUCACAAUCAGCAUGCAGCAGGCCAAUCUGUUUUCCAGGAAAAGCAGCAAACAUCUGUGACGUCUGUUGCACAUCUAUGAAAAUGAGCAGAAGUGGCUGGGAGCUGCUGCUGUCCAUCCUUCAGCAGAGAAAGCUUUAUGAACUGGACGUGGAGGUGGAGACCAAACAUUUCAUCCUGCACAUCCACUGACCUUGUUCGCCAUCAGAGACAUUAACAGCACUGAGCUGCAGCAGGACUAAAUGUGACCAAGGUUAUAAUAGUUUUGGAUUUUUAAUUAGUUUUAGUUUUAUUUUCGUUGUGAAUUUUUGUCUUCAAAUUCAGUUAGUUUUUAGAGUCAGUUUUCUAGUUUUAGUUUAGUUUUUAUUAGUUUUAGUGUUAGUUUUAGUUUUUUUGUAAUGGGCUAUGUGUUGGGUGCCAGAUUCAAAGAGGUCAUAAUAAAUGUUUCCUUCAUUACCUUUGGUUUAUCAUCUCAGCCCCAAUAAGGUUAUUAACUCUUACAGUUCUGGGUGUUUUUAAUUUUGGUUCUAGUGUAAACAUCCCAGUCUCAGUAAACAUAU